rnacentral:lncRNA from 1 species
UCCAACUCUUUGGAGUUGAGGAAAUCACGCAAAUUUCCGAAUUUGUCUAUUCAAAAUCGAUGUUUCUUCUUUCGUUUCCGCUUUAGGUUCUCGAUGUUCUCCUUUACUGUUUUGUUGUUGUUGUUUAUUCUGUCAAUUUUGGUAUUUUCCACUACUUGUUUUCUUUAUAACUUCUGUCACAAAUUUGAAAAUUUGGUAUAAAACUUAACUUUUAC